rnacentral:rRNA from 1 species
UUUAGUCAAUGGCCUAACGGCUGAACUGGCAACUUGGAGAAGUGGCAAGUCUUCCAGUAUGGGGAGCAAACAGCUAUGGGUCAAGCCCGACAUCUUUAGGAGAAGUCUUAUUGUGAGGGCGAGUUGUAAAACACCAUAGGGCUGGCCGUCCCAUAUGAAAAGAUUUUAUUAGAAUUGAAUGAAACUUUGUUUAUAUAUUGAUAAUGACAGUAUAUAUAUCGUGUCUUGACUAAUUGCGUGCCAGCAGUCGCGGUAAUACGUAAGAGACUAGUGUUAUUCAUCUUAAUUAGGUUUAAAGGGUACCCAGACGGUCAAUAUAGCUUAUAAAAUGUUAGUACUUGACUAGAGUUUUAUGUAAGAGGGCAGUACUUGAGGAGGAGAGAUGAAAUUUCGUGAUACCAAAGGGACUCUGUAAAGGCGAAGGCAGCCCUCUAUGUAAAAACUGACGUUGAAGGACGAAGGCACAGAGAACAAACAGGAUUAGAUACCCAAGUAGUCUUUGCAGUAAAUGAUGAAUGCCAUAGGUUAGAUUAAUAGUUAAUGUAUAUAGGCUAGUAUAAUAGACUAUACAUUAAAAAUUAUUUGGUCUAUAAAUGAAAGUGUAAGCAUUUCACCUCAAGAGUAAUGUGGCAACGCAGGAACUGAAAUCACUAGACCGUUUCUGACACCAGUAGUGAAGUAUGUUAUUUA